ACUCAAAGGAAUUGACGGGGGCCCGCACAAGCAGCGGAGCGUGUGGUUUAAUUCGACGCAACGCGCAGAACCUUACCAAGGCUUGACAUGGCCGCGACAACGGGUGAAAGCCCGUCUCCCGCAAGGGCGCGGUCACAGGUGUUGCAUGGCUGUCGUCAGCUCGUGCCGUGAGGUGUUGGGUUAAGUCCCGCAACGAGCGCAACCCCCGGUGCCAGUUAGGCUGUCUGGCGCGACCGCCGGGAGCAACCCGGAGGAAGGCGGGGAUGACGUCAAGUCGGCACGGCCCUUACGUCUUGGGCGACACACACGCUACAAUGGCCGGGACAGCGGGCUGCGAACCUGCAAAGGGGAGCCAAUCCCUGCAAACCCGGUCUCAGUGCAGAUGGAGGGCUGCAACUCGCCCUCCUGAAGGCGGAGUUGCUAGUAACCGCCGGUCAGCACACGGCGGUGAAUAUGUUCCCGGGCCUUGCACACACCGCCCGU
rnacentral:rRNA from 1 species